rnacentral:rRNA from 1 species
UACGGGGGGGGCAAGCGUUGUUCGGAAUUACUGGGCGUAAAGGGCUCGUAGGCGGCCAACUAAGUCGGAUGUGAAAUCCCCAGGCUUAACCUGGGAACUGCAUCCGAUACUGGAUGGCUUGAAUCCGGGAGAGGGAUGCGGAAUUCCAGGUGUAGCGGUGAAAUGCGUAGAUAUCAGGAGGAACACCGGUGGCGAAGGCGUCCAUCUGGCCCGAUACUGACGCUGAGGCGCGAAAGCGUGGGGAGCGAUCAGG